UCUUCCGCAAUGGGGGAAACCCUGACGGAGCGACGCCGCGUGAGGGAAGAAGCCCUUCGGGGUGUAAACCUCUUUUCUCGGGGAAGAAUACUGACGGUACCCGAGGAAAAAGCCCCGGCUAACUACGUUCCAGCAGCCGCGGUAAGACGUAGGGGGCGAGCGUUGUCCGGAUUUACUGGGCGUAAAGGGCGUGUAGGCGGCUUAGCAAGUCAGAUGUGGAAGCCCUGAGCUCAACUCAGGGAGGUCAUCUGAUACUGCUAAGCUAGAGGGCAGGAGAGGAGAGCGGAACUUCCGGUGUAGCGGUGAAAUGCGUAGAUAUCGGAAGGAACGCCGGUGGCGAAGGCGGCUCUCUGGACUGACCCUGACGCUGAGGCGCGAAAGCUAGGGGAGCGAACGGG
rnacentral:rRNA from 1 species